rnacentral:rRNA from 1 species
UACGUAGGGGGCAAGCGUUGUCCGGAAUUAUUGGGCGUAAAGCGCGCGCAGGCGGCUUUGUAAGUUUGGUGUUUAAUCUCAGAGCUCAACUCUGAUUCGCAUCGAAAACUGCAAGGCUUGAGUGCAGAAGAGGAAAGUGGAAUUCCACGUGUAGCGGUGAAAUGCGUAGAGAUGUGGAGGAACACCAGUGGCGAAGGCGACUUUUUGGUCUGCAACUGACGCUGAGGCGCGAAAGCGUGGGGAGCAAACAGG